rnacentral:piRNA from 2 species
UUGAAAAUGCCUUUUCCUCAAACCUG